rnacentral:rRNA from 1 species
GACGAACGCUGGCGGCGUGCUUAACACAUGCCAGUCGAACGGAAAGGCCCUGCUUUUGUGGGGUGCUCGAGUGGCGAACGGGUGAGUAACACGUGAGUAACCUGCCCUUGACUUUGGGAUAACUUCAGGAAACUGGGGCUAAUACCGGAUAGGAGCUCCUGCUGCAUGGUGGGGGUUGGAAAGUUUCGGCGGUUGGGGAUGGACUCGCGGCUUAUCAGCUUGUUGGUGGGGUAGUGGCUUACCAAGGCUUUGACGGGUAGCCGGCCUGAGAGGGUGACCGGCCACAUGGGGACUGGGAUACGGCCCAAACCCCUACGGGGGGGAGGAGGGGGGAAUUUUGCACAAGGGGCGGAAGCAUGAUGCAGCAACGCCGGGUGCGGGAUGAGGGCCUUCGGGUUGUAACCCGCUUUCGCCUGUGACGAAGGGUGAGUGACGGUAAUGGGUAAAGAAGCACCGGCUAACUACGU